GAAAAAAGCAAAUCAAUAAACAGUAUUUGUAUAAAAAAAAAUGAUUUCUUAUUCACAAUCCAAUGAAUCCUAUCUAAUAUGUGACAUGUUCUAACUAUAAUAAAUUUUCCAAAGUUUUCAAGAACAACAAAUCACGAUUCGCUCCAUUGUCGAUUCUCACACUUGCAAAUGCAACUCAAUCCGACUAAAAUAUCAGCAAUGGCAGCUUCCGUCUUCUCUUUAUCCGAAAAAUGCAAUGUUUGCAGCAACAACACAGAAGGUUUGAUAUCGAACUUUGUCUUCUCUAAGUUUCUUUCAAGCUGCCAAUUGAUAGUGUUAUGAGCCAUUGGCGCUAACCAUUCCAUAAUUUGCUUCAAUGCAUCCCUCCACCCCUCAGCUAACGACUCGUCCUCAUCCAUACACUUCAAAUUCUUGCUCAAUUUCGAUCUCACUGUUUUCUUCAGAUUCACUGGCAACAUUUGAUACAAAUUUUCUCGUGAACUUAGGUCUACGGAUUCAGAUGGAUUCGAAUACUUCUCUACCAAUGUGAUCACAUUUGCAUAACGCAACGCUAGCCCUGCACCUCCUACAGUUAAUGGCCCUGCUGCGUGAAACACCCUGUUGUUUUUCGCCAAUUUGUCUACCCCAAAACCUUCGUCUUCACAUAAGAAAAAUAUGGAUUUUCUGCUGUAAAAUCGAACCAGAGUUGGCUUAGACGUCGUGGGGAUUGGUCCAGACCGCGAAAUGAUCUGUUCCCUAAUAGGCUCAAUCAAACAAUUCUCAGGCUGAACUUUGAGAAUCUCUUUCUGCUGCGAUGAACGCAUGUUACGCAACGAUAGUGAAGGAAGAAUCGGUAUGUAAGGUCCAAACACAAUGCAAAUACGAGCAUAUAUUAUACAGACGAUUCGCGCCAUGUGACCAACGCUUUUAUCAAAUGUUUGAUUCCAUAAUGAGUUUUCCCUAAAUUGACGAACUUGUUUCCUCUGUUGUUCAAGUUUCUGAUGAAACACAUCCAAAUUCACCUUCUGCAACCGCCCUGAACCUUUUCGUUCCGUCCAUUGUUUCAUUUUCCGUUCGGAUACCUCCAAUUCCGCUAAACUCUCCAAUGCUGCGUACAAUCCAGACGUAGCGUUAAUCAAUUUCUCCAUUUUGAAAACACGUUUCUCAAUAUCUUUGGAUCCGUAUUCCAAUUUACCAAAAUCAAUAAUCCCUAAUUUCAAAUCGGUAUACACAAGAUCAAAUCGAUUCAGGCCAAAAUCAGUGCAUUUAUGGCCUAAUCUAGAUACAGCUGCAGCGGCUUUAUCAAGAUCUUCAAGCCUCUCAGCACACGCCAGGCUUAAAAGAAAUCCUUCGUCUUUCGAAUUCAAGUACGAUACCCCACGUGAGUUCAUCUCUGUUUUGAGAUUUGAAAUCUCAGACUCAGAUAGAGAUUUGUACAAACAGAGCAAUCUUGACAUGAUUUUCGCCGUCUCAAAUGAUAAAAUCCCCAUUUUGUUCAUAUCAUCCCCUGUUUUUGAGCUGUCUGAACUACGCCAACCCAUUUUCGCAAAACCAACCAUUGAUAGAAAUAGAUAGAUAAAGGGUAUGUUAAUAUGUUUUUGUGUUUUUUUUCGAGUUCUUUGAUAAAUA
rnacentral:misc_RNA from 1 species